GAUGAACGCUGGCGGCGUGCCUAAUACAUGCAAGUCGAGCGAAUGGAUUAAGAGCUUGCUCUUAUGAAGUUAGCGGCGGACGGGUGAGUAACACGCGGGUAACCUGCCCAUAAGACUGGGAUAACUCCGGGAAACCGGGGCUAAUACCGGAUAACAUUUUGAACCGCAUGGUUCGAAAUUGAAAGGCGGCUUCGGCUGUCACUUAUGGAUGGACCCGCGUCGCAUUAGCUAGUUGGUGAGGUAACGGCUCACCAAGGCAACGAUGCGUAGCCGGCCUGGGAGGGUGAGCGGCCAGACUGGGACUGAGACACGGCCCAGACUCCUACGGGAGGCAGCAGUAGGGAAUCCUCCGCAAUGGACGAAAGUCUGACGGAGCAACGCCGCGUGAGUGAUGAAGGCUUUCGGGUCGUAAAACUCUGUUGUUAGGGAAGAACAAGUGCUAGUUGAAUAAGCUGGCACCUUGACGGUACCUAACCAGAAAGCCACGGCUAACUACGUGCCAGCCGCCGCGGUAA
rnacentral:rRNA from 1 species